AGCUGGCUCUAAAUGUCGAAACAAGGAAUGGGAUCUGAUGGAGAUGAACAGCGAGAGAGACGAAGGGGGAAUUGGAGAACGGACAUCAAUCGGCCGGACAAAAGAUCCAACUGGCUCUAAAUGUCGAAACAAGGAAUGGGAUCUGAUGGAGAUGAACAGCGAGAGAGACGAAGGGAGAAUUGGAGAACGGACAAUAAUCGGCCAGACACAAGAUCCAAAUUUGCUUCAAGCGAUGACUCGAUUGACUAAUUCGAAUGAGGGGCUGGAGCAAAAAAUGGACCACCUGUCGCAGAUAUUGACCAAGUUGACAGAAAGACACGGGGAUGCGAGUAGUGAUCAGACAUUGCAUGGACAGUUAGAAGGGAUUUCGAAUACUCUUGACAUGUUUGAAAGUGUAAUUCCAAUUUUAACCACGGAAAACUUACUUGAAUUCGACGAAUAUCUCAAAAAACCUUCGCAGUUUCGAACUCAGUUGGUGAGACAUUUUGAAAUUUUCGUCGCGCCUAAUUCAAUUUUUGUGCACCGUUUCGCGCCACCACACGCCAGUUGGGAGGCAGUUGGAGCCACUGCACUCCACCAUGCACUAGGCACCUCAUCGAUGAUGGGGUGCCUAGUGGAAUGCAGUGGCUCCAACUGCAUCCCAAGUUGACCCCGUCAACCUACACAGUUUAAGUAAUUGUCUCAUAGAUACUACAGCUCAAAAUCUGCUCGCGCUCCGCGCUCUCAUUUCAUAAUUUUGUUCCUUUUUUAAAAAGGGCGUGAACAAAAAAGGUUACAUUCCUUGAUUUUGGUCACGUGGUCCAAGUUUUAAAGGGAUGGUCCAGGCUGAAAAUAUUUAUAGCUAAAUAAAAAGAGUAAAAUUCACAGAGCGAAGUGCUUACAAUUUCAUCAAAAUCGGAUAACAAAAUAUUGAAGUUACUACAUUUUCCCGGGGGGGGGGGGGGCCACUUACAUUGACGAGUGGAUACCAUGCGCGACC